GCAGACGGCGGCAGUGCGGCUUGCUCUUGGAAGUUCAGGCUCGGUUGUCUUUUGGGAGCCAUGGAGAGUGACUUUUAUCUGCGUUACUACGUGGGGCACAAGGGCAAGUUCGGCCACGAGUUCCUGGAGUUUGAGUUUCGACCGGACGGGAAGUUAAGAUAUGCCAACAACAGCAAUUACAAGAAUGAUGUCAUGAUCAGAAAAGAGGCUUAUGUACAUAAAAGCGUGAUGGAGGAACUGAAGAGAAUAAUUGACGACAGUGAAAUUACCAAAGAGGAUGAUGCAUUGUGGCCUCCUCCUGACCGAGUGGGCCGGCAGGUGUGUUUUAUUGAUUAUCCUGUAGUGCAGAAAUCUUACAAAUAAGACCCCCCACACUCCCUCCUCCACUUAAAGCUUUUGUUGCCUAUCUCACUUACUAACUACUAUGGACAAAGCAUUGUGGAGAUACAAAGAGAAAUAGAACAUAAUUAUUUCAACAAUCUAAUGAAAGGAAAAUCAUACAAAUAAUUCAGUGUAUGUAUUUAAAUUCAUGUAUAUUUAUAUAUAUUAAUGUAUAUAUUCAUUCUGAGCACCAUUUUGGUAACUAAAAAAUAAAAGCCACUGUCAUAUUGAACUGAAUUAACAGAAAAGGUAUUUUCACUCUGACUGCUACCAUUCUAAUCCAGACUUCUAAUAGAUUUCCUUGUUUUUCCUCUUGUUCCAUGCCAUCCUGAAAGCCAGUGUGA
rnacentral:sRNA from 1 species